GACGAACGCUGGCGGCGCGCUUAACACAUGCAAGUCGAGCGAGAACCAGGACUUCGGUCCUGGGGAAAGCGGCGAACGGGUGAGUAACACGUGAGUAAUCUGCCCUCAGCACCGGAAUAGCCCGGGGAAACCCGGAUUAAUGCCGGAUAGCCCGCUCUCCUUUCGGGGAGAUCGGAAAAGGUAGCUUUGGCCUCUGGCUGAGGAUGAGCUCGCGGCGGAUUAGCUUGUUGGCGGGGUAAUGGCCCACCAAGGCGACGAUCCGUAGCUGGUCUGAGAGGACGAUCAGCCACACUGGGACUGAGACACGGCCCAGACUCCUACGGGAGGCAGCAGUGGGGAAUCUUGCGCAAUGGGCGAAAGCCUGACGCAGCGACGCCGCGUGCGGGAGGAAGGCCUGGUGUAACGC
rnacentral:rRNA from 1 species